rnacentral:rRNA from 1 species
AGGACGAACGCUGGCGGCGUGCUUAACACAUGCAAGUCGAGCGGUAAGGCCUUUCGGGGUACUCGAGCGGCGAACGGGUGAGUAACACGUGAGUAAUCUGCCCAUCGCUUCAGGAUAGCCAUCGGAAACGGUGAUUAAUACUGGAUAUGACAUUCCUUCGCAUGUUGGGGUGUGGAAAGUUUUUUCGGCGGUGGAUGUGCUCGCGGCCUAUCAGCUUGUUGGUGGGGUAAUGGCCUACCAAGGCUUUGACGGGUAGCCGGCUGAGAGGGUGACCGGCCACACUGGGACUGAGACACGGCCCAGACUCCUACGGGAGCAGCAGUGGGGAAU